rnacentral:rRNA from 1 species
GACGAACGCUGGCGGCGUGCCUAAUACAUGCAAGUCGAACGCAGUGGGGACGGGUGAGUAACACGUGGGUAACCUCCCAUCAGAGGGGAUAACACUUGGAAACAGGUGCUAAACCGAUACUGAUGGAUGGACCCGCGGUGCAUUAGCUAGUGGGGGAGGAAACGGCUCACCAGGGCCACGAUGCAUAGCCGACCUGAGAGGGGGAUGGGCCAAACUGGGACUGAGACACGGCCCAGACUCCUACGGGGGGCAGCAGUGGGAAAUCUGCGGCAAGGGAGGAAAGUCUGACCGAGAAACGCGGCGUGAGUGAAGAAGGUUUUCGGAUCGUAAAACUCUGUUGUUAGGGAAGCGGUAGCUAACCAGAAAGCCACGGCUAACUACGUGCCAGCAGCCGCGGUAAUUC